ACAUCCAGAGAAUUUAGCAGAGAUGCUUUAGUGCCCUCGGGAACUCUGAGACAGGUGCUGCAUGGCUGUCGUCAGCUCGUGUUGUGAAAUGUUGGGUUAAGUCCCGNAACGAGCGCAACCCUUAUCCUUUGUUGCCAGCACGUAAUGGUGGGAACUCAAAGGAGACUGCCGGUGAUAAACCGGAGGAAGGUGGGGAUGACGUCAAGUCAUCAUGGCCCUUACGAGUAGGGCUACACACGUGCUACAAUGGCGCAUACAAAGAGAAGCGACCUCGCGAGAGCAAGCGGACCUCAUAAAGUGCGUCGUAGUCCGGAUUGGAGUCUGCAACUCGACUCCAUGAAGUCGGAAUCGCUAGUAAUCGUAAAUCAGAAUGUUACGGUGAAUACGUUCCCGGGCCUUGUACACACCGCCCGUCACACCAUGGGAGUGGGUUGCAAAAGAAGUAGAUAGCUUAACCUUCGGGGAGGGCGUUUACCACUUUGUGAUUCAUGACUGGGGUGAAGUCGUAACAAGGUAGGCGUAGUGCU
rnacentral:rRNA from 1 species